rnacentral:rRNA from 1 species
UGCCUAACAGCUAGCCCACCCAAACAAUUUCAACAAACCCCUGUUAAUAACCCCUAAGUACCCCAGUAUUUAUUUUAAACAAACCAUUUUUCCCCCCUAGUAUAGGCGAUAGAAAAGGGUCUACGGCGCAAUAGAGAAAGUACCGCAAGGGAACGCUGAAAGAGAAGUGAAACAACCCAGUAAAGCCUAAAAAAGCAGAGAUCUAAACUCGUACCUUUUGCAUCAUGAUUUAGCAAGUGUAACCCAAGCAAAGCGUACUUUAGUUUGACGUCCCGAAACUAGGUGAGCUACUCCAAGACAGCCUAUCAAUAGGGCGUACCCGUCUCUGUGGCAAAAGAGUGGGGAGAGCUUUGAGUAGAGGUGACAAACCUACCGAACCUAGUUAUAGCUGGUUGUCCAAGAAAUGAAUAGAAGUUCAGCCUUUCAGCUUCUCUUUUCACCUUAGCCUGACCCCUAUUGAUGUAUUAAAGAAACCGAAAGAGUUAGUCAAAGGUUUUACAGCUCCUUUGAAUCAAGACACAACUUUCCCAGGAGGGUAAAGAUCAUAAUAAUUAAAGCUAAAUGUUCUGGUGGGCCUAAAAGCAGCCAUCCCCUUAGAAAGCGUUAAAGCUCAGACAUGUAACCAUACUUCUUAUCCUGAUCACCCAAUCUUAUCCCCCUAACCGUACUGGACCAUCCCAUGCCAACAUGGGAGUGACUAUGCUGAAAUGAGUAAUAAGAGAGCUAUCGGCUCUCUCCCUGCACACAUGUACAUCGGAACGGACAACCCACCGAACCUUAACGGCCCCAAAUAAAGAGGGCAGUGGAUGUUAGACCAAAAAACUAGAAAACUAUCCAAAAACCAACCGUUAAACCCACACAGGUGUGCCCCCAGGGAAAGACUAAA